UACGUAGGGGGCAAGCGUUGUCCGGAAUCAUUGGGCGUAAAGGGCGCGUAGGCGGAUAGUUAAGUCCGAUGUGAAAUACCAAGGCUCAACCUUGGGGCUGCAUCGGAAACUGGUUAUCUUGAGGACAGGAGAGGAAAGUGGAAUUCCACGUGUAGCGGUGAAAUGCGUAGAUAUGUGGAGGAACACCAGUGGCGAAGGCGACUUUCUGGACUGUAACUGACGCUGAGGCGCGAAAGCGUGGGGAGCGAACAGG
rnacentral:rRNA from 1 species